rnacentral:rRNA from 1 species
ACAUGCAAGGUCGAACGGCAGCACGGAGCAAGUCCUGGUGGCGAGUGGCGAACGGGUGAGUUAAUAUAUCGGAACGUGCCCAGGUCGUGGGGGAUAACGUAGCGAAAGCUACGCUAAUACGCAUACGAUCUAUGGAUGAAAGCGGGGGAUCGCAAGACCUCGCGCGAUUGGAGCGGCCGAUAUCAGAUUAGGUAGUUGGUGAGGUAAAGGCUCACCAAGCCGACGAUCUGUAGCUGGUCUGAGAGGACGACCAGCCACACUGGGACUGAGACACGGCCCAGACUCCUACGGGAGGCAGCAGUGGGGAAUUUUGGACAAUGGGCGCAAGCCUGAUCCAGCAAUGCCGCGUGCAGGAUGAAGGCCUUCGGGUUGUAAACUGCUUUUGUACGGAACGAAACGGUGAGCUCUAAUACAGUUUGCUAAUGACGGUACCGUAAGAAUAAGCACCGGCUAACUACGUG